rnacentral:rRNA from 1 species
AUUGAACGCUGGCGGCAGGCCUAACACAUGCAAGUCGAGCGGAGCGGCGGACGGGCGAGUGAUGACUAGGAAGCUAACUGGCAGUGGGGGAUAACGUCCGGCAAGGGGCGCUAAUACCGCAUACUUUCAGUGGAGCCUAGGUCGGUUUAGCUAGUUGGUGGGGUAAAGGCCUACCAAGGCGACGACCCCUACCUGGUCUGAGAGGAUGAACAGUCACACUGGAACUUAGACACGGUCCAGACUCCUACGGGAGGCAGCAGUGGGGAAUAUUGGACAAUGGGCGAAAGCCUGAUCCAGCCAUGCCGCGUGUGUGAAGAAGGUCUUCGGGUUGUAAAGCACUUUAAGUUGGGAGGCGUUACCAGCAGAAUAAGCACCGGCUAACUUCGUGCCAGCAGCCGCGGUAAUUC